rnacentral:rRNA from 1 species
GACGAACGCUGGCGGCGUGCUUAACACAUGCAAGUCGAACGGUGAAGCGCCUUCCUUUUUGGUGGGUGUGGAUGAGUGGCGAACGGGUGAGUAACACGUGAGUAACCUGCCCCCUUCUUCUGGAUAACCGCAUGAAAGUGUGGCUAAUACGGGAUAUUCUGGGUCUGUCGCAUGAUGGGUCUGGGAAAGAUAUUGUUUCGGUGGGGGAUGGGCUCGCGGCCUAUCAGCUUGUUGGUGGGGUGAUGGCCUACCAAGGCGGUGACGGGUAGCCGGCCUGAGAGGGUGGACGGUCACACUGGGACUGAGACACGGCCCAGACUCCUACGGGAGGCAGCAGUGGGGAAUAUUGCACAAUGGGCGCAAGCCUGAUGCAGCGACGCCGCGUGAGAGAUGGAGGCCUUCGGGUUGUGAACCUCUUUCGCCAGUGAAGCAGGCCUGCCUCGUUUGUGGGUGGGUUGACGGUAGCUGGAUAAGAAGCGCCGGCUAACUACGUG